rnacentral:rRNA from 1 species
UACGUAGGGUGCAAGCGUUAAUCGGAAUUACUGGGCGUAAAGCGUGCGCAGGCGGUUAUGUAAGACAGAUGUGAAAUGCCCGGGCUUAACCUGGGAACUGCAUUUGUGACUGCAUGGCUAGAGUUUGGCAGAGGGGGGUAGAAUUCCACGUGUAGCAGUGAAAUGCGUAGAUAUAUGGAGGAACACCGGUGGCGAAGGCAGCCCCCUGGGUCAAGACUGACGCUCAUGCACGAAAGCGUGGGGAGCAAACAGG